rnacentral:rRNA from 1 species
CCUACGGGAGGCAGCAGUGAGGAAUAUUGGUCAAUGGACGAGAGUCUGAACCAGCCAAGUAGCGUGAAGGAUGACUGACCUAUGGGUUGUAAACUUCUUUUAUAUGGGAAUAAAAUGUUCCACGUGUGGGAUUUUGUAUGUACCAUCUGAAUAAGGAUCGGCUAACUCCGUGCCAGCAGCCGAGGUAAUACGGAGGUUCCGAGCGUUAUCCGGAUUUAUUGGGGUUAAAGGGAGCGUAGGUGGAUUGUUAAGUCAGUGGUGAAAGUUUGCGGCUCAACCGUAAAAUUGCAGUUGAAACUGGCAGUCUUGAGUACAGUAGAGGUGGGCGGAAUUCGUGGUGUAGCGGUGAAAUGCUUAGAUAUCACGAAGAACUCCGAUUGCGAAGGCAGUUCACUGGACUGCAACUGACACUGAGGCUCGAAAGUGUGGGUAUCAAACAGGAUUAGAUACCCGUGUAGUC